ACAGCAGUAGCCGCGGGAAUACGAAGGGGGCUAGCGUUGCUCGGAAUGACUGGGCGUAAGGGCGCGUAGGCGGCAUACACAGUCAGAUGUGAAAUUCCUGGGCUUAACCUGGGGGCUGCAUUUGAUACGUGUAGGCUAGAGUGGGGAAGAGGGUUGUGGAAUUCCCAGUGUAGAGGUGAAACUCGUAGAUAUUGGGAAGAACACCGGUGGCGAAGGCGGCAACCUGGUCCUUGACUGACGCUGAGGCGCGAAAGCGUGGGGAGCGAACAGGAUUAGAUACCCCAGUAGUCCCUGUCUCUUAUACA
rnacentral:rRNA from 1 species